rnacentral:rRNA from 1 species
GACGUAGGGCGCGAGCGUUGUCCGGAUUUAUUGGGCGUAAAGAGCUCGUAGGCGGCUUGUCGCGUCGUCCGUGAAAACCUGCAGCUCAACUGCAGGCUUGCGGGCGAUACGGGCGAGGCUAGAGUUCGGUAGGGGAGACUGGAAUUCCUGGUGUAGCGGUGAAAUGCGCAGAGUAUCGAGGAGGAACACCGGUGGCGAAGGCGACUUACUGGACUGUAAACUGACGU